UAUAUAAGUACGCAGAGCCCUUGGCCGGAGAGAGUGCAAUGCAUUCUCUCCCCACACAAGCAACCUCCGUCCCAACCACAGCAUCGUCCAAAGGUAUGAUCGUGCCUGCCGCUAUGGGCAAAGUGACACAGCCACCGCCUGCGAAAUACGGCCCAGGCGACGAUCCGGAUGUGAACGAUACGGUUCUCGAUCCAAAGGGUGGCUUGAUUUUCAUAAAAGGGGGCAGCAAACAGUGGGCGCUUAUAUGAAUGACAGACAGAUAUAAGGGCAAGCUGAGGCCUGUCCGGAACCGCGAGGAUGCGCUCAUGCCUCAAUAUAUGCUCCGCAACUGCUGGUCGAGUCUUCUUCAUCGUGAUAAUUUAAAGGCCGAGCUAGGGUCUUGUUCAAGUGUUCGUCCUUGGCAUCAUUUCGCGAAGUCACAGAAAUAGCAACGUUAGUACUGGGUGUCGGAUGGCCUGAAGAAACAAGUACAGCGUGUUUCUUUACUGCUACUAGUGAAGAUAUGUUCAGUGGUAAAACAAGAUAAAAUCCAGAAGUGGCUCUCGGUACCAUAUGUUUGGUGUGAAUAUUUCUUAUGGUGUGUGUAUAUGUUGUUCGUGUGAUGUAAUACCUCCAGUAUUGCUUAUGUAAAAAUACCCUUGUGAGAAUUUGGUACUAGUAUAUCCUUUAAUUUGAUCCUAGACAGGGCCAGGGCGUGUUGCU